GAUGAACGCUGGCGGCGUGCCUAAUACAUGCAAGUCGAGCGAACAGACGAGGAGCUUGCUCCUCUGACGUUAGCGGCGGACGGGUGAGUAACACGUGGAUAACCUACCUAUAAGACUGGGAUAACUUCGGGAAACCGGAGCUAAUAACGGAUAAUAUAUUGAACCGCAUGGUUCAAUAGUGAAAGACGGUUUUGCUGUCACUUAUAGAUGGAUCCGCGCCGCAUUAGCUAGUUGGUAAGGUAACGGCUUACCAAGGCAACGAUGCGUAGCCGACCUGAGAGGGUGAUCGGCCACACUGGAACUGAGACACGGUCCAGACUCCUACGGGAGGCAGCAGUAGGGAAUCUUCCGCAAUGGGCGAAAGCCUGACGGAGCAACGCCGCGUGAGUGAUGAAGGUCUUCGGAUCGUAAAACUCUGUUAUUAGGGAAGAACAAAUGUGUAAGUAACUAUGCACGUCUUGACGGUACCUAAUCAGAAAGCCACGGCUAACUACGUG
rnacentral:rRNA from 1 species